GUGGCAACCUGCUUGGGUUCAGUUCGACGCUGUGAAAGUAUUGUUCUUUCGCUCUUUGUGAUAAAACUUGCUGCUGCUCACUCUUUGGGUCCACACUGCCUUUAUGAGCUGUAACACUCACUGGGAAAGUCUGCACCUUCACUCCUGAAGCCAGCGAGACCAUGAACCCACCAGGAGAAAUGAGCAACUCCAGACGCGCUGCCUUAGGAGCUGUAACACUCACUGCGAAGGUCUGCAGCUUCACUCCUGAGCCAGCGAGACCGCGAACCCACCAGAAGGAAGAAACUCCGAACACAUCCGAACAUCAGAAGGAGCAAACUCCAGACACGCCAACUUUAAGAACUGUAACACACCGCGAGGGUAUGCGGCUUCAUUCUUGAAGUCAGUGAGACCAAGAACCCACCAAUUCCGGAUACAGUGGGAACAGGUCAGUGAAUUUGUCUCCCAGGGCUGCAUGACCAAGCACCACAAGCUGGGCGGCUUAGAACACCAGGAGUUUAUUCUCAUGGUGCUGGAGGAUGGAAGUCUAAAAUCCAGGUGUGGGCAGGGCCAUGCUCUCUGAAGUCUCCAGGGCAGGAUCCUUCCCUGCCUCUUCCUAGUUUCUGGUGGUUGCCAACCAUAGUUGGCCUUCCUUGGCUCCGUAGACACAUGACUCCAAUCUCUGCCUCCAUCCUCACCUGGCCUUCUCCUGCGUCUCUCUUUGCAAACUUACCUCUUCUUAUAAGGACCCCAGCCACUGGGUUUGGGGCCCACCCUAAUCCAGCAUGGCCUCUUCUUAACUGAAUGACAUCUGCAAAGACCCUGUUUCCCAGUAAGGUCCCAUCCACAGGUACUGGGGCUUCAGGCUUGAGCAUAUCUUUGGGGGGCCGCAAUUCCACCUACAACAGUAAAGUCGUGGAAGUUGGGGAGACUUAUUCACAUUUGGGAAGCUGGUAGAAGUUAUCUGUCGUGCAGAGUUAAAAAGAGUACAGAAGAGUGACUUGCCCAGCUUCCUGGGGCCUCCCCAGAGGCAGCCACUGAUGUCAGACUCCCAGUGUGUCCAGCGACAGUUUGUACACAGGCAAGCAAGUCCCGUGUGCAUUCUCCGUACUGAGCCCCAGUUGUGCACCUGUGCACAGAGACCGUGCGGGUGGGUGUGCAUCCUUCCCCUGACCUGGGUGUGCUUCCUCUAGAGGGCUGGAGCCUGAAGCUUUUAUCUGAAGGACUGAUCUUGGACUACCAGAUUCUGCUUUGUCUGUACAUGCAGAGUCAGAAGUAGCUGGGAAUUCAGAUCUCCCAGGGCAGCCCUCAGCCAACCACUAGCAGUGGGGGUAAGGAAAGCCCUGCUGCCACAAGCUCACCCUGCAGAGUCCCCUACAGGGUCAGGCUUAGCUCCCUCCUGAAGCUUCAGCUGAGACCACGACCUGCUAGGCAUCCUCCCCUCCCCAGAGGGCCCGGCUUCUUCCCCGGGCCCGCUAGGGGGCGCGCGCCCUCUCCGCGGAGUUCUCUGCUGCUGGGAAGGCGAGCCGGCCCCCGGGACUUCAGAGCCGGAGCCAGGCACUUAGCUUCCUUCUGGGGACCCUGAGGCACGGGAAGAGAAGGGACCUCCUGCUCGCAGUGUCCCCCUUGCGCUGUCCCUGCUAGUGACAGGAAGCUCUUCUCACCCUGUUCGUGGGCCCGGCUGUGUCUCCUCCUCGCCUUCACCUGCCGUUGUGACCUGCAGUGCCCUCCCCAGCUUGAUCCCUACCUGGAACCCCUCGGUGUCCUGUCCCAGGCCACGCUGAAGGUGGGCGGUGCGUGCUGCGGGUGACUGGCUGAAUGAAUGAAUGAGCCAACACAGGAAUGCCCGUGGACACCACCAGGGGUCUUUCUGCGAAAGUGCGGUGACACCAGGGGUCCUCCUGCGGCCCCGGGAGGGCCCAGACUCGGCCUGAGGGGCUCAGCACCGGCUCCUCCCAUUCCCUUCCUUCCUCCUGACUUGCUGUGGUUCUUUAAGUUUGGUAAUUAAUGUCAUUCUAAGUAAAGGAAAAACAAGCAGUCGAGUCAUUCGCAUGAAUUGUUGGGCUCAUCAUUUUACGGUGCGAUGCCGUCUUAGGCGCAGAGCGUCUCACUUGUGCACUAACGCGCCACAAUGGCACAUGGGUAGUGCACAGUUCGUACAGGCACGUGUAUUUCGAUCUUACAGGACAAUGGAAAGGCUGCACAAAUCUAAACCCACUGUCACCUCUGGGGCUCGUGCAUUCUGCCAACACCCCAUAGGAACCCGGAUCUCAGACGUCCCAGCAACAGCACUGACCUGACCAGAAGACAAGAGGAAGACGGAGACGAGAGGAAGAUGGAGACAAGAAGAUAGAGACAAGGGUGUGCCCCCAGGGAGCCUUGCCUGCCCCUCUAGGGCUGGGUGUGUUCUUACCAUGGUGGGAGACCUGGGGGCUCUGGCUGCCCUGUGGAUGUUGGAUGGGGGUGAGGUAGACCCACAGACGCAGGCAGUGGUUGGACAAUGAGGUGUCUGGCUGCAGGAGCAGCUGGCUGGGGGGCUGGCCUGGGUGUUGGGGGCUGUGGCCUGCUCUGCCGAGAGACUAAGCUGCCUUCCCUGAGCCAGGAGCAGCAGGAGGUGACAUCUAGGAACAGUGAGGUCCCAAGUUAGGCAGUGACAAAACAUUUGACAAGACUAACAUCUCUUCCCAUGAGAUGACCCUAGGGAAAGAACAGAAUAAAUACAAACAUCUGUACCUUCAGAAAACUUCCCUAAAACAAAAAGAUUUGGAACUACAUAUUGAAAGAGUACACCAUGUAUUUGAGAAGACAGACCCAGGGUAACCAACAUCAAAACAUGUUCUAGUAAAAUUACCAAUCUAAAAAAAAAAAAAAAAUCCUUGAGUCCAGGUUAAAAGAGUGAGGGACUUAUACUAAAAUAAAAAUUAGAUUGUCGUGCGACUUUUCAACCACAACACGUUCUGCCAGAAGAAAAAGGAGAAACAUACUGUACUUAAAAUACUCGAGAGAA
rnacentral:lncRNA from 1 species